CGACAAUGUAAAUGUGUACCAGCUGGCUGUGAUACUGGGAACACUGGGAACACUAAGACAGGACAUCUGGGACCAAAACCACCAACUAGGCCGGGAAAAGCACAUUUAAUGAUGCAAACAAGCACCUAAGUCACAGGUGUCCUUCUACCUUCCAACCAAUCAGAAUCCAGCAUUUUCAGAGGUCAAGGUAUAACCGUGGAUACGCACCAGUACAUCUGUACUUCAAGCUCUGCGCUGCGAUUGGCCGACAGCUGAGCUGACUGUUCCCAUGUGGCUCCAAAAAGUUUCCAGAACAGACGC